rnacentral:rRNA from 1 species
UACGAAGGGGGCUAGCGUUGUUCGGAAUCACUGGGCGUAAAGCGCACGUAGGCGGAUUGCUAAGUCAGGGGUGAAAUCCUGGAGCUCAACUCCAGAACUGCCUUUGAUACUGGCGAUCUUGAGUCCGGGAGAGGUGAGUGGAACUGCGAAUGUAGAGGUGAAAUUCGUAGAUAUUCGCAAGAACACCAGUGGCGAAGGCGGCUCACUGGCCCGGUACUGACGCUGAGGUGCGAAAGCGUGG